rnacentral:piRNA from 1 species
UGUACGAAGACUGCAUGCCAUAGGAC